rnacentral:tRNA from 1 species
AUUUUCGACUCUGUAUCAUCGGUCUCGAAAACCGGAGUAGGGGCAACUCUACCGGGGGUUCAAAUCCCCCUCUCUCCGCCA